UACGGGGGGGGCAAGCGUUGUUCGGAAUUACUGGGCGUAAAGGGCUCGUAGGCGGCCAACUAAGUCGGACGUGAAAUCCCCAGGCUCAACCUGGGAACUGCGUCCGAUACUGGAUGGCUUGAAUUCGGGAGAGGGAUGCAGAAUUCCAGGUGUAGCGGUGAAAUGCGUAGAUAUCUGGAGGAACACCGGUGGCGAAGGCGGCAUCCUGGACCAACACUGACACUGAGGAGCGAAAGCCAGGGGAGCAAACGGG
rnacentral:rRNA from 1 species